UUAUAUUGUGGGGACGAGAUAUUUUCUAGAGAGAUCUUUACUUCUUUUCCAAGCACACAUAGUCCAUGGUAAGAGCAGAAGACCUCAGCUGUCACGCCUCUCUUGGAUUUUCCAUCUUCAACCAAAAACCCUAACACCCUUAGAGUCGUCGCCACCCCCUCAUCUCCGCUAAAAAUCCAACCGCCGGAAUCCCUUGAUCACCACACGACCAUCUCCCUCACUCCAAUUCCGUCGUUGACCAUACCUUAACUACCUUCUCUCCAAAAAAACUCCAUCUUCCAGCGACAGAUCAACCUAAUCUCCACAACCAUGGUUGUUGCUUCCCCCACCACCAAAAGACGACUUGCCUCCAGUCACCCGCCUUCACCACACCAGCAAUCCAGACCUAAGCUUUAGCGACAGAGCAGACACGCACAAUCUAGUGCCUCAUUUCUGUCCAUUGAACUCGCCGGAAAUGAGCUACACCAGCCAACGCCCAGCACCCCUCCUCAUCUCUAUUUCUUCUUCUUCACUUCACAACCAAGAAAGUUCCUUCAACACCAACGAACCAAUCAAACUUCAACCCCAAAUCGCUACUCCUUGUCAUGGAGUUUAUCGAUUUUGUUUUUCGGGUUUAGUUCGAGUUCUCCGGCGAGUUUCGCGCCGAAGGUCGUUGUUCGAGGUUGCUGGCGGCUUUCGUUUGAGGUUCUGAUUCCGGUCGUGUAAGUGAAGUCAAGCUUUUUGAAAUACAGAGCUCUGCCUUUGAUGGUGCAUUUUUUGUUUGUAUUCUCUUGUCCUGUUUGGAAAGUCGGCCGCAAGCCAAGGAUGGGAAUUGCACAAUACCUUGAUCACAUCUUGUGUUUUCUUUCUUUAAAUAGGGCUGGCACUUCCACACUACACAAUAAGCGGUUGUUAUUUGGAGAAGGUUUAGGUGUGAGCACUGCUCGGGAUCCUUGAGGUCCUUAGGGAACUCUGACACACCUAGACAUGAAAUUGGCUAUGGA